CCUACGGGAGGCUGCAGUGGGGAAUAUUGCACAAUGGGCGCAAGCCUGAUGCAGCCAUGCCGCGUGUGUGAAGAAGGCCUUCGGGUUGUAAAGCACUUUCAGCGGGGAGGAAGGCGUUAAGGUUAAUAACCUUGGCGAUUGACGUUACCCGCAGAAGAAGCACCGGCUAACUCCGUGCCAGCAGCCGCGGUAAUACGGAGGGUGCAAGCGUUAAUCGGAAUUACUGGGCGUAAAGCGCACGCAGGCGGUCUGUCAAGUCGGAUGUGAAAUCCCCGGGCUCAACCUGGGAACUGCAUUCGAAACUGGCAGGCUAGAGUCUUGUAGAGGGGGGUAGAAUUCCAGGUGUAGCGGUGAAAUGCGUAGAGAUCUGGAGGAAUACCGGUGGCGAAGGCGGCCCCCUGGACAAAGACUGACGCGCAGGUGCGAAAGCGUGGGGAGCAAACAGGAUUAGAUACCCGUGUAGUC
rnacentral:rRNA from 1 species